UUUUAGCUUUUUAAAAAUAUUUUAGUUCGAUUUAAUUAAACGCGAUGGUACGGUCGAAUUGAAAAACCAAAAAAAAAAAAAAUCGGAAAAUAAAAUGAAAAGAAAAAAAUUAUUUAAAAUACUUAAAACGUAUUAAGUGUUCGGUAGCCCUUUCCAUUACGUAAAAUUUUCAGUAUUUAAAAAGUUUUCCAUCGAAAUUUUUCCAAAGAAAUUUUAAAGAAUACGUCCCUGUCCCAUUAGUUGAGAAAAAGCCUUGGCAUCCAGUAAUGUGGCCAGAGCCAUUACCAAAAGAUGGUGAAGAAGUUGAAGAGGAACCUCCUCAUCAUAGAAUUAUUCGAAAUAUUCGGAGAUUCUUC